rnacentral:rRNA from 1 species
GACGAACGCUGGCGGCGUGCCUAAUACAUGCAAGUAGAACGCUGAAGAGAGGAGCUUGCUCUUCUUGGAUGAGUUGCGAACGGGUGAGUAACGCGUAGGUAACCUGCCUUGUAGCGGGGGAUAACUAUUGGAAACGAUAGCUAAUACCGCAUAACACUGGAUGACACAUGUCAUUUAUUUGAAAGGGGCAAUUGCUCCACUACAAGAUGGACCUGCGUUGUAUUAGCUAGUAGGUGAGGUAAUGGCUCACCUAGGCGACGAUACAUAGCCGACCUGAGAGGGUGAUCGGCCAACCUGGGACUGAGACACGGCCCAGACUCCUACGGGAGGCAGCAGUAGGGAAUCUUCGGCAAUGGGGGCAACCCUGACCGAGCAACGCCGGGGGAGUGAAGAAGGGUUUCGGAUCGGAAAGCUCUGUUGUAAGUCAAGAACGGGUGUGAGAGUGGAAAGUUCACACUGUGACGGUAGCUUAACAGAAAGGGACGGCUAACUACGUG